UACGAGUGCCUCAAGCGUUAUCCGGAAUUAUUGGGCGUAAAGGGUGUGUAGGCGGUCGUGUUAGUCUCGCGUUAAAUUCUUCGGCUUAACCGGGGGCAUGCGCGGGAAACGGCACGACUAGAAGAUGCGAGGGGUCUCUGGAACUCAUGGUGUAGCGGUGAAAUGCGUUGAUAUCAUGGGGAACACCAAAAGCGAAGGCAGGAGACUAGAGCAUUCUUGACGCUGAAACACGAAAGCGUGGGUAGCGAAUGGG
rnacentral:rRNA from 1 species